CAGCAGCCACGGUAAUACGGAGGGUGCAAGCGUUAAUCGGAAUUACUGGGCGUAAAGCGCACGCAGGCGGUCUGUCAAGUCAGAUGUGAAAUCCCCGGGCUUAACCUGGGAACUGCAUUUGAAACUGGCAGGCUAGAGUCUUGUAGAGGGGGGUAGAAUUCCAGGUGUAGCGGUGAAAUGCGUAGAGAUCUGGAGGAAUACCGGUGGCGAAGGCGGCCCCCUGGACAAAGACUGACGCUCAGGUGCGAAAGCGUGGGGAGCAAACAGGAUUAGAUACCCCUGUAGUCCCUGUCUCUUAUAC
rnacentral:rRNA from 1 species